UUUUUUUUUUUUUUUUUGCGGUGCGCGGGCCUCUCAGUGUUGUGGCCUCUCCCGUUGGCGGAGCACAGGCUCCGGACGCACAGGCUCAGCGGCCAUGGCGCACGGGCCCAGCCGCUCCGCGGCAUGUGGGAUCUUCCCGGACCGGGGCACGAACCCAUGUCCCCUGCAACGGCAGGCGAACUCUCAACCACUGCGCCAGCAGGGAAGCCCUAUAUUUUUAAUUUUUAUCAAAGUAAUUUGUGCAUAUGGCGUUUAAAAAUUGGUCCCCGCAAUAUUUCAGCUGGACUGUGGAAGGAAAAGACUUACCGCAAAGUCCCUAAGGUUAGUACUCAGAUGCUAGUGACACAGAAUAACAAAGGAAGUUUGUGGGAACCAGGAGAACCGUAACAAUCUCUGUGCUUAAUGUUUCCAUGUGAAACAUUAAGCACAGACAUUCUGCUCUUCUGACGUGUGAACCAAACUCAGUGUCAGGUUCAGAGUCAGUCCCCUGGAGUCCCCAAGUAGUGUUUGCUUCCAACUUCCCAUCAUCCCAAAAAGCCCUUGUUCCCACAGUACUAACAGGCUGGCAGGAUCUUCUCUUUAUCCUUGAUACUCAGGGCCUCAUGACUUUCUUAAGUUCUAAAAGUUUCCUUCCAUUAUUUAUGGGAUUAUUACCUCUCCACAUGUUCCUUUCCUCUUCCUUGAUUUGUCUCCUGGGUCUGACCUCCACGCAGCUUACCUUUUCCCUCAGGGUAUCUGUCACUGGGUUUCUUGUGAGGUACCUGAUUUUUCUAACCGCUUACAUGGUUCUCAAGGGCAGUCAUUCUCUUUUUCUGUUGGGUACUGAAUUUCUAAAUAAGAAGUCAGGAUUGAUUUUUAGUUCCCGAAAGCGGUGGGGUUUUUCUCGUUUUUUUGUUUUUCAGCACUGUAAUUCCAUUCUGUGUUCAUUAAAAUUCUCUUGUUUCUUCCAUUGGUUCUACCUCAGCAGGCAUCUCCUGUUUCUAUUGUGUUGGCCAUCUUUCUUUCCGAGAGCGAGAGCCGGGUCCACACCUAGCCUGGAAACCCUGAGUCUCGUAAUAAAAGCAUGCUAAUGAGACUUCAAAAUUACUAUGAAGAAGAUGAGGAAAAUGCUCUUUCCUUUUGUUAACAGAUUUGCGGUGGCCAGUCUCCAAGAUGGCCCACAAUGAUCCCCGCCUCCUUCACACCCUUGUGCAGUCCCCUCCCACAGUCUGCCAGAGUCGCUGCUACAGCUCUGUGACACGGUAAAAAUUACAAAUUUAACAAUAACUUUAAGAUCAUUUAUAUUUACUUUCUACGUAUGUCACAUUUUUCUUUUUACAUAUGACAUGUUUUCUGGUCAAUUAUAUAUCCUUUUUUAAAAUUGGAAAAUAAAGAAAAAUUUAAAAAAUAAUUUCUAAAAUUCACUUAUAUAAUACUAUAUGUCAGGCUCUCUUCUAUGUUCUUCAACUUCAUUAACCCACUUUUUUUCUUCAAAUAACUUUUUGAGAUAUUAUAUCAACCACAACCACUUUGCAUUUGGAGAAACCAGGCAGAGAGGUUAAAAAUCCUGCCCAAGGCUACACACCUAGGAAGUGGCAGGGCUGGGAUUUGAGUCUAUAGAUAGGCUGGUUCCAGCAUUUGUGAUCUUCUCGCCACAUAAAAAUCACCUGUAAUCCUGCUAACCAGAUAAAACCGGCCUCCUCUCUGUAGAUAUGCUAAAACAGUUGUACUGUGUAAGUUGCUUACUUCUUUAGCAUAAUAGUUCCCUGGUGGUCCUGCAGUUAAGACACCGUGCUUCCACUGCAGGGGGUGCGGGUUUGAUCCCUGGUCAGGGACGUUCCUACAUGCUGUGAGUUGUGGCCAAAAAAAAAAAAGAAAAAACGGUCAGUUCCUGCUGGCAUUCACAGUUCCUCAAGUAUCAUUGCUCCUCCAAUUUUUCGGCACUUAUGACACUGCUGAAUGCCAUCUGUAUUCUGCUGGUGAAGCCAACUGUCAGUCAUUGUCUGCUCAGGCAGUGAGGACCAGUAGAGGGAAUAGAGUGCAGAAGAGUGGUUGGAAAGAUUGGAGGAGCAAUAAAAGGAAGCUGUUAAGUUUACCUAAAGAAUAGUAACUGCUGGCAGCCACUGCCAUGCCUAAGACGGGAGAAGCAGGAAGGAAGAUGCUGCUGCCCAGACCCCAGCCACAGUCACAUGCCUUGAGGCUGCUGGAACCCCACUGCAGCUGAUGUACAGGGAGCAGGGAGUUGUGCAGCACUGGAAAUGAAGCUAAGCAGCCUUUAUAACAUCCUACAACGCGAGGCAUUUUAUUCCGCUUGUGCAAGCCAUCGGGGUUACGUUUCAAUCAUGAUUACUGAUAGGCUAACUUCAAAACAAUGGCAUCGAGAGCCCUUCUACGCUUCCUUGGUUAUGUAUUUAGGAAAGAACCUUUUUCUCAAUUAUCCCUUGACCUGGAUGGAAAUGAAAUGUAGUUAAAAUUAAAAAUGAAAUGAAACAAAACAUCCUGCCGAUGUUACAGGAUUCUAGGAACCCUCCUGUUCAAACCCUGUUGCUUGUCAGGAGCUCAGGCUUACCUGCUGCUGCUGUGUGUGGGAGCUGCCUCCAGAAGAAGGGAAAUCCUCCACAUUUCCACUCUGCCAGGGAAUAUGGAAAAGACUGGCAUAUACAGACUUCUGGCUUCCUGCAGUGGCAGAGUUUUUCCGGAGGGGGGUGGGAAGCAUAGAAAUGUGGAAAUGUAACCACAAGCGAAUGGCCAACAAGCAGACCAGUCUUUAAAACAUAUAUCUUCCCUUAACACGUUUUUCACAUGUGAAUAUUUUCACGUUGUUAAAUAGUCUUCCACAAUUAAUGGCUGCAUCAUAUUCUUGGUUAAUUAUUAAUAUUCUGGUUGUUAAGUUUAUUUGCUGUGUUUCCUAGUGUUAAUUUUCCCCAUUUUCUUUGAAAUUUUAGUUGAAUGUUUAUCUUAUGUGGGUGUUUCAUCCUCCUCCUCUCCAAGCUUCCAUGUUUAUCAGUUUUUUGGUUGCCUGCACCCUUUCUUCCCCCACCAUCUGUAGCCCAGGAUAUGGUCUUAGUUGUAGCUUGAGCUCCUGUCCCUCGCUCCGUGACUGGAGAUAAUCAGAGAUCUAGUCAUUGAGCUGGAAAAGGAUAAGACUGUCCUUGCCUCCAGCUUUAGGAAGGGGACCACGCUCUGUCACCCCACGCAAGUCCAACCGCUGGGCUGCCUGAGGCUUCGGCUCCUGCAUAUUGCUGCAGGUUCUCUCUUAUCCUGCUUUUGAAUGUGACUAUGAUUUUUCUUUACAUAAAAAAUCUAUCAUUGCUAUGUUUACAGUAGAGGGAGGAAUGUAAAGCACAAAUGCAUAGUGUCAUAGCAAUGAUAAAUCUGUCUUAAUACAUUUAGUUGACUUGCUUGGGUUUUCUAGGUAAAUAAUCAUAUGACUCAAGAAUAACAAGAACUGGAGCCACCAUUUAAUCAGUACUUACUGCAUGGCAGGUACACCCUGCCGGGCACUUUGUCUACAUGUCAGGACUUGGAAGUGGGCAAAGAGAAUUACUGGUGUCUUUCAGUGGAGUGCUAGGCAUUGGCCAGGCGACCCUCAGGGCAUUAUCUGAUUCCAGGAAUAUGUACCUUCAAUUGACUAGAUUAUUUUACAGUUCCAUAGGGGUAGCUGUUAAAUUGUGAAAAACAAAUAGCAAUGCAAAUAAUUCCUGUUCAUAACAAGGCAAAUGCAGUUUGACUGGUAAACUAUAAAGCUUUGUUAAGUCAGAUUCUCACUUGAACAGGUCUUACCAUCUUAUUGGUUCCCUGAGUAACUGAAGAGUUGAAUAAAAUCUUUGAUACAUGUCCAUUUUAUAUUUAUAUGAGUCAUGAUUUUACUCUUUUGAAAAUUAUGCUUUGCAUACAUAGUAUCUUCUAAUAGGCACAACCUGAGAGAUGGGUAUUAUUCACAUUUAAUAGGUGAGAAAACUGAGACUCAGAUCAAAUGGCUUACCUGCUUAAUGUCAAAUUAACUAGUAAGUGGCCGAACUGGGAUUUAAGUACCAAAUUUUGCUGUCUUCAAGAUCUAUGCUCUUAUAUAUUAUUGCCUACCUUGGAAAAACUCCAUCUGAUCACAAAUAAAAUGAUUUUUUUCAAAAAUAUAUUAACAUCAACAAAACAGUAAUAUCUAAGUGUUUGCUCUAUGCCAUGCAUCAAACUACAUGUUUAUGUGAAUUAACUAAUUUAAUCAACAGAUGAGAAAACUGAGCCUAUAGAGGUUCAAUAACUUGUUCAUGGUUUUCCAUGCUAUUUCUGUUUUUUUCCCUUCUUUGUUCUAAUGCAGCAGUACCCAGCAUUAGCUGCACAUUAGAAUUAUCUAGAGAGGUCUUAAAAAAUCAGUUUAUCAGAAUUUCUUAAGAGGUUCUUAGGUGACUCUAAUAUGUAGAAUCACUUUAUAAAUGAGCCCAUUUAGCAUCUUGCUUCCCUAUCUAGCUGAUACUUAAGAGAAUUAGACAAACCUUUUUAUUUUUCCUGAGACAGCUUAGAAUGGGAAUAAUGGGGCUGAGAUCUGUGCUGUCCUGAAGUCUGAGUGUCUAGAAGUGUCCAGGGUUUAAAUAAAAGCAUUUGAAGAAUCGAACUCAGCUGAAGGUCAAAUCAUAAUAGGACCUUAGCAUAUUGAGAAACCAUCUCAGUAGUAAGUAAUGACUGUUACAUUGACUCGCUAAAUCAAUAAAAUCUGCCUUGUACUGCCAAACAGUAACACUUAUAAAAGUCAAUAUUUGCUAAGGAAAUGUUCUCUUUCUGUGAUUUAGAAUAUUUGGAUGGCCUAGUAAUAUUUUUUUAAUAAACUUCCUUCCUCAUCUCCUUGCCCACAGAGGCAGACAAGGCGGCUUAAAAGCCAUUCACAAUCUUUCGUUCUUGCUUUUUUCUACACGGUGGCUUGAAAGCUAGAAUAUUCACCUUUCCAACGAUCUUUCCACUAGAGCUGACUGUAUGACCCAAUUCUAGCCAGUAAGAUGUAAGUCGUUGGAUGAAACUUGGAAACAGCAUUUUUAAAGGAAUAAACUAAGCUUCCUUGGUUCCGGAGGCAGAUGAAUUAUGAGGUGGUACAGCAGCCAUCUCAUGACCAUGUGGGGAAAAGCCACCUGCCAAGAAUGGUGGGGCAGGAGGAGGACCGCCCCCGGGUUCUUUUUUUUUUUUUUUUUCCGGUACGCGGGCCUCUCACCGCUGUGGCCUCUCCCGUUGCAGAGCACAGGCUCCGGACACGCAGGCUCAGCGGCCAUGGCUCACGGGCCCAGCUGCUCCGCGGCAUGUGGGAUCUUCCCGGACCGGGGCACGAACCCGUGUCCCCUGCAUCAGCAGGCAGACUGUCAACCACUGCACCACCAGGGAAGCCCCUGUCCCCUGGGUUCUUGAUGGAAUCAGGGAGUUCAUGUACCAGCUCUCCACAGCCUUACAUGAGACAUUUUAUUACAUAAAAAUUAGCCCCUUCAUUAUUCAACUACUUUUAGUUGUUUUUUGUUGUUAUUGCUUGCUGCUGAAGAAGAAAAAAAAAUAGGGGUCGGGGGGAAGGAUGCUUACAAAUCAUUUGACUUUUUCUUCAGUUUUACUGAGAUAUACUUGACAAAUAAAAUUGUAAGGUAUUUAAAGUGUGCAUCAUGAGGAUUUAAAAUGUAUAUACAUUGUGAAAAGAUUCCUCCCAUCUAUUCUAGUUAAUUCCUCCCAUCCAUCACCUCACAUAUUUAUCUUUUUUUUUUUUUUUUUUUUUUGGUAAGAACAUUUAAGUUCUACUCUCUUAGCAAAUUUCAAUUAUACAUUGCAGUGUUAUCAACUAUAAUCACGGUGUUAUACAUUAGAGCCUCAGACCUUAUUCAUCUUACAGCUGAAAGUUUGAGAAAGUUUUCUUAUAUAAUUGUUACAAGUCUACAAUUUCAGCCUUUUCAUAAGAGGAGAGAUUUUACUUCUCAAAAGUGAGUAAACUGUAUAUAAAACACGUUUUGAUCGAUGUAAGUAACUCAUCCUUUUCUAUAUGGAUUGUCAUUAUCUUGAUUGUUGAUGGAGAGGAACACAACCAUUACAGUUUUCUCAAAGGAGAUGGGUAAGCUGUGGUCAGGUGUUUUUGAAUGAACAUGUCAUUUCAUCAUACGAGCUUUAUUGAACAUGUUCACUGAUGUCUUGCACCCAUGGAAUUUUAUAUCUGUCAGAAUCCAUGAUCCCAUUCAGUCUGCGUGAAAUAUAGGUUGACAGGAUCAGUGAUGCCAGAGGAGACUCUUCAGAGGAUUGCACUCCACCCUCUACAGAAAUGUUUCCUUGAUAAAGGAGCUAUGAAAUUCCUUUGGCGUCAUCUCGUGGGGUGAGGUUUGCAUAUAUAGUGAGCCAUUUGUUAUAAAGGUCCUUGAUAGAUCAAUUCUCAUGUAUUAUUUUUAAUUCUUGAGCAUAUAUUACUGCCAUUUUAAGAGUUUAGGUAUUACUAGGUCUCCGGAAAACAAGCACAAAGCAUUACGUUGUACUGAACACCUCUUGGUCAGCAGGGAAGGGACGGGGAGCAGUGAGCCCAUAAAGAGCUUGACUUGGGGGUGGGCAGGCAGGCCCAGGAUGAGGGCCAAGAGAAGUAAGAGUCUCAGCCUUGACUGCAGUAAAGUUUGGACAUGAGUGUUCAAUAGGUGGGUUGGAUACAGUGUUUGGGGAACCAACUUCACAGAGAGAACUGAAGAAUGAGAUAAGAACUCUCCAGCUUUCUUCCAUUCCACCCAUAAGCUCAUGUGUGUCCAACUCAUCCUUCCUUGCAGCACUUCCACCACACUGGAAUCACUCUGCCUCACCCUGUCUGAACCUAAUCCCCCCUCUGGGCCCUGAAUCCCAGCCCUUUGGUGCAUGCUCAGACCUUGCUCAGGACGUCACCCCUCCUCUCUCCUCUGUCUUCACUUCAUUCUCUACAGCAUUUAAAUGUAUUUAAAGUUGGUCAAUCCCACGCCUUGCCUCUCAUCACCAUCCUCUCUCCCCUUUCUAAAGCUAGUUUCCUUUAUUCAGUUUUGAAUAUUUGCCUCCACUUGUGUACCUCCCAUUCUCUCCUCAACCAGCUAAGCCUGCCUUCUGCUACCACGGCUCGACUGCAACUGCUCAAGCCACUCUGGCCGCUCCAGCUGUCUCCUCAUGAGGCUUGCCAGCUCAUGUUCCAGCCCCUGCUUCCCCUCAGGUUCAUCUCCUGUGCUCUCCCCACUCGCUCCGGCUCAUCCAGCCCCACCAACUUCCUUUUUAUAAUUCAAACCCCACAAACCCUUGUCCAUUUCCAGGCUUGGGUACUUGUUCUUCCCAUAGCCCCAGAUUCUCUCCCCCAGCUCUCACAUGAGUGGUUCAUUCUCAUCCCUCAGGUCUUGGCUCAGAUAUCCACUCUCAGAGAGACCUUUCCUGAACAACACAUGGUGUGUGACCUUGGGAACAUCACUUAACCUCUCUGUGGUUCAGUUUCUCGUCUAUAAGUGAGGAAAUAAUUGUACCUCUCCCCUACGGCUGUUAUAAGGAUUAAAUGAAAUUAUACACAUAGUCUUUAGAACAAGCCUUGACCUAUAGCAGUAAUUUAGGAUUAAUUAUAGAUAGCUGCUUACUAUCAUGGGCAACAUUUUUGUCAUCUCCCUAUUUUCUUCCUUUGUCGCAAUUAUGAGCUGUGAUUGCUGUGUGUGGCAUGGUAGGAGGCAAGGUCCAGAAAGACAAGGGACUCAUCUGCCUUGUUGGUGUUUUUACCCCUUACGUCUUGCUUGAGACUACAGCACGGUAGGGCACAAUACGUUAGGCACUUCAACAGCUCUUUUACCUCGUGCUACAUUUGUCAUUGCUGACCAUGCUUUUCUUUCUGAAACUCUCUCUCUUUUCUUUCACUUCUUUGUCUUUCUCUGCUCAUACCUUUAAAAUGCUAGGACACGUCUGAGAGGGUCCAGGACAGAACAGGAGUAUGGGAAUGGGUGGAUGAGAUUUGGGUGACGUGCCACUGCCCCACACAGUGAGCUGGAUUCACAGGAGCUCUGGUAAGAGGAGGGAAGGAUGGGUGGAGCUGCUGAUUAUAACUGAAGAGGGAAACCUCAGACUGAGCCUACAUGGGGUGAAGUUGGGAGCAAAGGGCUUGGGCUUCCUCUUAAAAUUCUAGAUUAAUUCAUCAUGUAUCAAGCACCCCAUGUGCCCAACUGAGUUAGGUGUCAGAUUAAAAAAUAUAUACAUCAAAUAUAUAGAUGUGUAAAUAAGCACUAGCAGUUUAUUAUGGGAAGUGCUAUGCAGAGGUGUGCACAAGGUACAAACUGGCAGUGGCGGGGUGAUCAGUUGUCUGGGGGUGCUGGGAGAUUCAAAGAAGAGUAAAAAUAUGAAAUAGGCCUUACAUUUAUCAGAUAAAGCAGGGAAAGAAAUCCCAAGUUGAGGUAAUAGCACAUGCAAAAGUAUAGGAAGAUUUCUCAUCAAUAUUCAGUAUGGUGGUUAGAGCUGACAUGAAGACCGGCCUUCCACUGUUCACCUCCCCAGCCAACCAGAAAUAUGUAGCAUCCCUGUGAUUGUUAUAAAGUUGAAGCAACUUUUUGAGGAGAAAAUUUUAUAUGGAUUUUAGACUAUAUUUUGGAGUAAAUCUCUAAUCUAUGGCUUGCUAUGGUAGAUGGCUACUAGGCAAUCUUAAGGCUUCUGAAUAUUAAAUUCCAACUCAUAACAGUUCCAGUUUUAGAAGAGAGAAAGGUUAGAGGGGUGAGUGGGAGGGUGGAUGGGUAAAUUGACUGGAUUGGAGCAUGGACAGGUGGGAGGAUAGGAGAUGGAUGCCAAGGUAUCCAAGAGAGAAUCGGAGUGGUGUUGCUUUAUUUAAAGUUUUGGUUGGGUAAUGUGACCUGGGAAAGCCAUCCACAUGUUUCUAUACAAAAUUUUGAUUUUAUUAUAAUAAUAACAGUAGUUUUACUGAAUAUAUACUAUGCGUUAUAUACUGAAUAUAUACUAUGAUAUUAUUCCAGGUUCUUUUUAUAUAUUAUCUUUACCCUGGAAGGAAAGUAAGAGGAACCUGAGACUUGGAGAAGUUAAUUUACUUACUCAAGGUAAUAAAGCAAGUAGAUCUACUUAAAUCUAAAGUAGAUUUUUUUCAUGUUUUCUUACCAUAUCAGGGGGACAAUUUGUACUUCUUUCUUAGCAAAGACACAAUUUACUUAGAUUCCCCACUUUCAUAUCUAAUCACUGCUCUGCUUCAACAAUCCUCUCCAACUCUUGUGAUAUAAAAGGGCAGUGAAGAAUGGCACAGCUAUUCUAAUAAUGCUUCUCCCUUAGUAUAACUGGUUUUUCUUCUAGCACAGAAUGAACUUCUCCAAUAUGAAGUGCUUUCUUUUGUGCCUGAACAGUGGCCACUGCAGUCAGUUUAUUCCUGGAAUCUUCCUAUUUCAUGCCUUUCCAGAAUACUACUACUGUACCCAUUGUGGUUUCUGUUGUUUGCAACUGAACUCUCCUGGUUGGGCUAAGGGAAUUAUUGCCAGUUAUUUGAUGGUUUGUAAAAUUAUUGAAGGGCUAUAGGAGGAAGCUCUAGGCUGAGUUUCUAGGAACAACUCCCAAUUUCCAAAAUCACACAGCUUCUGCGUGGUCAGGAACUUCACAAGCUCUUGAAAUUUGCAGGAAACUGAUGACAGGAGAACCUUAAUGCCUUUGCCCAAAUCUGCAGGCACAAAAUGAAAGCCUCCCACCUUUUCUCUCCGCUCCGGACCAGCUUCAUGAACACAGAACCUGUGCAGCCAGUCGAGGUCCCACCCUUAGAAGGGCGCCACUUUUGUAGUUUAACACUCCGAGGUUGCCAUCCUAAAAUUCUUGAUUUAAAAUUUGUGUUCUGAGGAGAAGUCCUUUGGGACAGUGGAUUAUUCACGGGGAGCUUCGAGCCUCAGCUCCCUCCUCCUGCCACUUCCCUGUGACAGGUUCUCGGCCAGCCUGUCCCCUACGACCUAGCACCCCAGGGCUCUCCUUCCCUGCCACUGCCCAGUGACCAUCGCCUCUCCGGCCCUGGGGUUGACCCGGCCCUGUGUGCGAGGAGGAUUGGGAUUGGUUCGCGUCAGGCGCAUGCGCUCCUCGAUCGCCGACAGGGCAACGCCGCACGGUCCGCGCUCCUGGCGGGUAGCAGCGCGCGUUCUUAGUUGCAGGGAGAGGUUCUUACUUGCCUCUAUCCAGGUGCCUAGUGCAUCUGGGCGUGGAGGUGGCAGUACUUUCAGAGUCAUCCAUCCUCCGUGGGUUGGGGUGCCAGCCCUUGGGAAAGAGAGAUGUCUGACGGGACUUCUGGAAGCUUCGGUCGGUCCGGCAGUCGGUGGGAGAGGAAACCCAGCAGCCAGUGGGUCGCAAGUGCGCGCCCAAUCGUGGGCAGGGACCCUGGGCCCGGUGAGUGUCUGCACGCGUAUCUGAGUGUCCUUGCUUUCUGAGAUCACACCACAAAAUAGCAAACAAAAAGAGGGGCUUAAGAAAAAAAGAAAGAAAAAAGAAACCACCUUGAUAAAUGGUGGAAAAGACCACAAAAGGAGGGUAGAAGUUCCACCCCCUGCUUUCUGUACAGGGGCCUCGUGCUUUCAUUUUAUACUGGGCCCCACGAAUUCUGUAGCUAGCCCGGUCUCCACUUAAUUUAGUUUUAAUCCAGGUCUUUGAUAAGUGCACCUGAUUAGUGGAAUCCAAAUCACAUCCUAAACUCAUUUACACGGAGUCUGGAAAGUGUAGUUUUUAGCUUUCUAACCUGAGUAGGACAUGAAAGUACUGCAGUACAGGAAGGAGGUUGGAAUUCGUAUUAAGACAUGCUGCUCUAUGUGCCACAAUCACCUGCAUCGUGAGUCUGGCAAGAGUGGAACCUGGUCUGUACACUAGGCUCCGUGGGGCAGGGGCUGGAUUUGGUUCAUUCACUCCUCUGUCCCCAGUUCAGAAUACAGGGCCUGUCGCAUGGUAUGAUCCCAGUAUUUGUAGAACUGAAUUGCUAAUCACCAUUUUUUGUAUAUUCUAGUUAUUAACCUAUACAUCUAAUGGUAUAUUCUUUCUUGCCAUAGUUCAUAUUAACUGGAGAUCUUCAUUGCUAGUGACAAAUUCAUAUUCAAAUGCAGUAGGUUAGUAAAAAAAAAAAUAGGCAUAUGGAUUAUACUUACUGAUUUAUUUUCAUGUACUGGGCAUAGCUAAUAUGAACAUGGUACCAUAUGUCUACUGUGCUUAGUGAAUUAAAUCACUUAUUAUGCCAUUAUGAAAACAUUAAUAAUGUUUACCCAGCAACAGAAACCACCAAUAUGAAAUUACAUUCUUUCUAGUCUUCACCUUUCGAAUUUCACAAACUGGAAUUAAUUUCAAAGGGAAUGUGUCUGGCUGAAGUGUAUUAAGAGUGGGCAAAUCACAGAAUAUUCUAUGGAAAAAUUAGUUUGAUUUAAAACAGGAAUGCCCUGCACAGAAUCAAAACGUUUCAUAUACUUCUCACCAUCUGCAAAAUGGAAAGUAAAAAUAUUUCCACAAAAGGUUUUAAUUAAAAAGACUUUUGGCAUGUGUGUGUAUAAAAAUGUCUCAAUUACAAAGAUUAAAGUUAAAGUUUAUACCUGAGAUUUAAUUAGCAGUCUAAAUUGUGUAGCUAUGGAUUGAUGACAGUGAGGACAGUUGAGAAUAUGUUAGAUGAUCAGAUCAUCCAAAGCAAUUCAGGAAGCAAAGCUACACCUUUCAGAACUUACCUGGCUAUCCAGGAAGUGGUGUGGGGUGGAGGGCUUAUUCCAAAACUUUGUUAAAUAAAAUAGGGUAAAAGAGGUCUUUGGGAUCUCCAUCCUUAAAUGUUCUUUUCAGGGGCUGCAUGCUGGAAAUCUGGCCUGACAGUCUGACAGGUUCUGAAUUAGAUCUAGUUAAAACUCAGAGCAUAUGAGUUACUUACUGGGAAUCAAUAAGGUAACUGUGUGAGUAACUGCUUGUGAUUGCCUAUAGGCACAGUCUGGCCUUUGAGCCAAAGAAGGGAAUAAUGGAAUUCUGGUUCAUUCAAGAAAGGUGGAGCAGAGAAUGUUGAUUUUUAUAAUCCAGGUAAUCUUGUCUUUCACAUCAAUCUGACUGCAGGAUUUAUCCUAAUCCAUUGUGUCUCUAAAUGAAAUAGUUACACUGACAAAGUGUUACUGUGAUAACACUAUAAAUUAUGGCAACAAUAAAAGUUAUCCACCCAGAUAAUCCAGGGUAAUCUCCCCCAUCUCAAAAUCCUUAAUUAUAUUCACAGAGUCUGUUUUGGCCAUGUAAGGCACUAUUCAUAGAUUCCAGGGAUUAGGACAUGCUAUUUUUGGGGGGAAGGGAUAUCAUUCAGCCUAACAUGCAAGUUGUCUGAAAAUUUGCUAAAACUCAAAUCUAUUUACUUCCUACUAUCUCUAAACAGAACAUCAAAGGAUGGAGAUUCCAAAGACCUACUUUCGUUAUGACUAGCAAUCAUAAACCUAGGUUUCUUUUAUUUUAAAAGAGGGCUGUUUGGGGGAACAUCUGACAACAUAAUUUCUGUUUUAACUGUCCAGACUAAUAGAUAUAAUCUUCAAAAAUCCUGAGGGUCAGAUUUGAAUUAAAUUUUAUUGUGGUCAUUUUGUAUGUUAUUGAACUUCCUAAAUUAUUAUGUGCUUCUGCAUGUUUUUGAUCAGUGCCAUGUGGAAGCUGUAAGACCUUGAAUCUGGAAUGAUUCAAUAUUAUUUAAUUUUUAUCACCUUAGGACUGAUAGGUUACACCUUGAACUAGAUUAUGGCUAAAUUAAUACAUUUUUUUCAAUGAAUUUACACCUAACAUACCAUUUAGCAUAUCUGGACUCUGAGCAUAGUUAUUGAAUUAUUAUUGUUGUAGUUUGAAAGAAGUGGCAAGUGCCCUGUUUCGGGACCCAAACUUUAAAUACAAGGGCUAUCUCAUCUCUUUUCCUUCUUGUGACAUUCUGAAUACUAUGUACCUCACUAAACAAUUUUGUUUGUCCUUUUUUUGUUAAAUAUUUUGGUGAAUUAGAAAAUGUAGCCUUCAGAAGCCCCUCAUAAUCUCUCUUGCACUGGAACUAUUUUCUGCUGUUGUUUUCACUGUUAGUUAUAACACCCGUGACUGUACUUGGGACUUGUAGUUCUAGUUCUUUUAGUUGCAAAGUGCCUGUGAUAUGCUUAGCACUUCUACUGAGCACAGAAUCGAUGCCAACCACAAUGCCAAGGGGAAGGUGAAUAUAAAGAGGUCUAAGACUUGUUCUGCUUUCUCCAGACUGAUUUCUGCACUGAGACCUGGACUUACUUUACCUUAAUUUCCAGCAUCUUUUUUACUUUCCAGCACAGAGUCAGCUCACAGUAAAUGUCUGUGUUCUAUUUUGUUUAAAAAAAUUUUUAAUUGAGAUAUAGUUAACAUUAUAUUAGUUUCAAGUAUACAACAUAAUGAUUUGAUAUAUGUAUGUAUUGCAAAAUGAUCACCAUAAUAAGUAUAGUUAGCAUCAGUCACUAUACAUAGCUACAAAAAAUUUUUUUCUUGUGAUGAAAACUUUUAUCUACUCCCUUAGCAACUUUCAGACAUGCAACACAAUAUUAUUAACUAUAGUCACCAUGCUGUACAUUAUAUCCCCAGGACUUACUUGUUUUAUAACUAGGAGUUUAUACUUUUUGACCUCCUUCACCCAAUUUACCACACCUCCCGUAGAUGUCUGUUUAAUGAAAAAAAAUUGUUUAAUAAGUAGUUGUUGAAUGAAUAAACAGUUUAGAGAUUGAGCUACUUCUGAAAUCAAAUAACUGGGGUAAAAUGCUUCUGUCUUCAGAUCACUUCUAAGGGGUGUGAUGGAGGUCUGAACAGGGUGUAACAGGACCCACCACUUCAACCAAGGAGAGUCAGAGAAGACUUUGUAGAAGAGCAGUCACAUGAGUGAGGUCUGGGAGAAAAUGAGUCCAAUUUGUGGAAUAACCACUUCUUUGAAUUUACUUGUUUCGUUUCGCUACUUAGAAACUAGAUGGGCUAGUUUUCACUUUGUCUCCAUAAUAGCACUCGAAGGAAUGUUGGGUUUGUGUCUGCCCCAGCUCCUGCUGCUGGCACUGGAAGGAGCAGGGAGGGAAUGACUACUUGGGAAGAGACAGGGAGCAGAGUCAGCGUGUAGCACGGCUCUCCCAGGGAGAAAGGAGACUACAGAGAUGAGGAGAAACGGGGCGAAAUGUAUGGGGAAACAAAGGAGGAACCUGUGGGCUGCUUCUUAUUUAAGAAUGUGUUUAUAAAAAGUCAUUGUAUUUGAGAAUCUGUUCUUUGUGAAUAUAUGGUCCAUGCAUAUAUCCUUUGUAUUUUGACCACAUCUUGCCUCUCUCUGGGAGGCAAUGAAUACUGACCCUCCUCUUCAUCUUGCCCCUAGUAGAAGUCCCCUUUCUCUGUCCCAGCUCUUUCCAGCUGCAGCAGCAGGAAUCUGGGUAGAGACAAAUUAAACAUUCCUUAAAAUGCUGUUAUGAAAACUGGUGAACUAAAAGUUUACAUAAAUUUUUAAAAGCUAUUAAAACUAUCCCAUCCAAUGUGAAUUGUUGUAAACUUUAUAAAUAGUUCAAAGGAACAAGAAUAUUCGGCAAAUCGGCCUUGUGGAAGGUUGGCUUUUUGCGGUUGACUUUUGGCAAAUUGACCUAGAAACAGUUUUGAAGAAUUAACACACAUUCCCCUAGCAAAAAUGGGAAAGGGCAUUCCAAGUACAGAGGCAAGAUCAGAAGAAAUAAGUUUGGCAGGAACAGGUAUGUUCAUUUAUUCACCAAAUAUUUUGGAGCACAAAACCUGCCCUUGUGAAGUGAACAGUCGCACCCUCAUGAAGCUUAUGUUGUCUCUUUUACAUAAAUGUCUGCCAAAUUAUUGGUUUUAACUCCUUCCUUCCCUCUCUCCCCACCCCCUCCAGAGAGAAACAUUUUAGAUAUUGGAUAUAAGUUGUGAUAGUUAGGGGAACAGUAGAGAUAGAACGUAGAAUGAAUGUAAUUGAAGUGAAACAAACUAAGCUUUUGUCUGAAGAAGCUAGACGAGAUCCCAGAAACUGAACAAAAUUGCAAUAGAAGGAUAAAAAGCAUAAAUUGAAUAAGAAAGCAGUAAAGCAAAAAAAAAUUAAUAAGUAAUAUCAAGAGCCAGUUUUUUAUAAAAGUCCAUUAAAAUGAUGUGUUUGGCAAGUUCUGACCAAGAAAAAAAAGUUAAAAAACACAAAUGCAAAUAAAUGUUUUGAAUGAUGAAGGAUAUAUAACCAUAGAUAGAGAUUAAAAAUGUAAUGAAAAUGACGAUGUACAACUUUGUCAUUAAAAAAAAAAAAUCAGAAUGGAUUGUUUAAGCUAACCAACAUUUCAGCACUCUAACCCAAAUUUAAAGCAUCUUCUUAAUUUAAAAUUUUUUCUCUUUACUCAUUUUCAGUUAUUGGUGAAGGAGUAACAGAUAAGUUUCUGUAAUACUUUCGAGCCAACAAAAUCCAGUGGCCAUAACAAAUUGGUCAGAGUAGGCACAACAGGAGAGGAAGCAGUUAUUGUCUAGUUCUAAUUCAAUCAUUUCCCUUUAUUGUUAGCAUUGUUUGCUACAGAUGGAAAAGGAAUCCUGCAUUGGUUAGAAUCAAAAGACACAGUUCCAAAAUGACAUAAUGUAAGAAAAAUAAGUGAAUUAGAAUAGCUAACCUUUGACUAAAAAGGUUUGAUUAAUGACAUGAUUUUUUUAAAAAAUGCAUUAUCUUGAAGCUAUAAAACAAUGGUCAAAAAGGAGAGUGGGAACAUCUACUUCUGAGUAAGAUGGAGUAAUAGGGACUAUAUUCUCCUUCUUACCAGAAACAACCAACCCCCUCCAAAGAAAGAAAAUAUAGGGAACAGUGGUUUUUAAGACACUGGGCAUCAGGCAGCAAAGGAUAGUGAUCCCUGAGAGACGGGAAACAAGAACAAGAUGAGCCCUGUAAUUACCCUGCUUACCAUUUGAGAGAGUUUUCAGGCCGCAGUACUGGGAGGGGGAGCUCAGGAGAGUACAAUGGACUCUGUGAGUUGAGGAGAUAAAGCUGAAAGUCCAGGGGACUGAAGUGGCUAGUGUUCACAGGGCAGAGUACUGGACAGGAGAGAGCUGCACAGAGAGAACUGAAGAGAUCUGUAAAGGGUCCCCUCAAGUAUUCAGGUGAGUAAAGAUUAGCCGUUGCCCGUGAGCAGACCAGCUGGGGCUGGAGAAAGAAACAUCUAAACGUAUUAGAGGUAGCAGUGCCUGGUGUUCACACAGGGCAAAAAAUAGUUACCCCUCCCACCAGCCAGACUAGAAAACCCCAGGAUUCACAGCACACUGGGUCCAGUACACAGAAAGAUCUUGCCUCAGUGGUGGGGAAUAAGCUCUAGAGUAAUCAUUGCUCUGGGCCAGUCUAGCAAGAUGUAAAAAGGAUAAAACUAUUUCCAGGUAAUUUAACUGCAUCCCAGAACAAAGCUCUAGAAUAUUUAAAGGAACACAAAAAUAUACACUACGCAACAAGAUAAAAUUUACAAUAUCUGCUAGUUAAUAAAAACUUACCAUGCAAAGAAGCAGGAAAAUAUGAACCGUAGUGGGAAAACAAAUCAAUUAAUUGAAACUGACUCUAAAGGUUUAAUGCAGUCUCAGUCCUAAUCCCAGCAGGCUCUUUUGUAGAAAUUGAUAAACCAAUUCUAAAAUUCGUAUUGAAAUUUAAAAGACCUAGAAUAGCCAAAACAACUUAGAAAAAGAACAAAGUUGGAGGACCAACAUUACUUGAUUUAAAGGUUAAUAUAAUGUUGUAGUAAUCAAGACAGUGUAGCACUAGUGUAAAGAUAGAGAAAUAGAUCAGUGGAACAAAAUAGAGUCCAGAAGCAGACCCACAAUUUUAUGGACAACUGAUUUGCAGUUUUUUGAACAAAUAGUGAGGGGGAAAAAAAGAACCUCAAUCCAUAUUUUACACCAUUUGCAAAAAUUCACUCAGAAUGGAUCAUAGACCUAAAUGAAAAACCUAAAGCUAUAGAACUUCUAGAAGAAAACAUAAGAGAGAAGAUUUUUGCUGCCUUGGAUUAAGCAAAGAUUUCUUAGGUACAUCACUGAAAGCAAGAUCUAUAAAAGAAAAAAAUAUAUAUACAUAGAUAUAUUUGAUUCCUUCUCACUGUGUCCUCAUGUGGUUUUUUUCUCUGUGCAUGCCCAUCCCUGUGUGUCUCUGUGGACAGCAGCCAGACUGGAUUAGGACCCACCCUAAUGGCCUCAUUUUAAUUUAAUCACCUCUUAAAAGUCUUUCUCCAAAUAUAAUGUCCUAUUCUGAGGUAAUGGGGCUUAGGACUUCAACUUAUGAAUUUUAGGGGAAUACAAUUCAGCCCAUAACACCGUACAAACACUUGUAUAUAAAAGUGUAGCAGCUUUAUUAGUAACAGCUUAAGAACUAAAAACAACCCAGAUGUCUAUAAGCAGAUGAAUACACUGUGGUAUAGCUAUAUUAUAUACUACUACUCAGCAGUAAAAAGAAAUGAAUUGCUGAUGUAUGCUACAGCAUGGAUGAAUCUCACAAUAAUUAUGCUGAGUGAAAAAAAUGACCAAAAAAAGAAUACAUGUUGUAUGAUUACAUUUAUUUAAAAUUCUAGAAAAUGCAAACUAAUCUAUAGUGGCAUUAGGAGAUCAGUGGUUUCCUGAGGAUCUGUGUUUUAGGAUUACAAGGGAAUGGAGGAAACUUUUGGGGGUGAUAGACAUGUUCAUUAUCUUGAUUGUGAUGAUGGUUUCAUGGGUGUGUACAUAUAUCAAAACUUACAAAGGUGUACACUUUAAACAUAUGUAGUUUAUUGUAUGUCAAUUAUACCUCAACAAAACUGUUUAAAAAAGAAUAUUGUAACUAACAGCAUAGUAUAACCACUUUCUUUUGGAGGUCAGAUUUCUACAGUUCUCAAGUCUCUGGUGCAUAGAUUGUGCACCCAGAAAGUUUUUGAAAAACAUGCUGGAAUGGCUUUGACAAGCCAGCACUCUAGCUUACCAGAGUAAGUAAAUUCCUUCCUUCCUAGAUGAACUUAGAAACCCUCAUUCAGAGCCUGCUUGAUUUUACUUAACACACUUCAAUUAAGCUUGAUAAGCUAUAAAAAAAUAUUUGAAAAGAGGAGGUGGCAUCCACAUAUUUGAUGGAGUAUUGGUGAAAAGUGAUUGCCAGUACAAUAGGAAGAGAAAAGAACUUUGAAAAGUACUUAGAAUUUCACUCUGCAAACACUGACUGGUGAUGAGUAUUCAUUGAGAUAACUGAAGACAGUAUCUUUUGUUAAUAAGACAGGUAAGAAUAUAGUAGACUGUAGAAAAAUUUCUUACAAAAAUGAGAUGAAAAAUGUUUUAAAUACACAAGAGGUAAUAUUCAGUUAUGUGAAAAAUCUGUGAAAGUAGAUACCUUGCUGACUCGCAACAAAGUGCCUUUGAGGAAAGUCAUAAAAAUUACAGAAAACACUGGACUUAAACUAAGUCAAACAUUAGAAAGAGCAAAAGAAUAUCCCACCAUUAAAAGUAAAAUAGACAGGUCCACUCCAGUCUUUUUCCUUUACAAACAUUCAUGUUUCUUUGUUUUCCUGAAGUGCUCAGGGUGUUUAAAUUGACAGAGAGGAAAGAACAAGUCUUAAUGUUUAUGGCUCCAAGAUCUGGUUUCCAGUCAAUUCACAUAUAGCUCAGAAUGUUAAUAAUUGAAAGUUGAUCUAUUUUGACUCUUUGCCAACUUUAUGACUUAAACAUAUUCUUUGACCAUAAAUCUUGUCCUUUCAGGGACAGUUCUGGAAUUAGGCUCAGAAUUGUGACAGGAUGACUCUUCCUUACUGAAAAUUACGUUCCACUGUUUAAAGCAUUUUAUUAUGCUAAACCUGUAAUGAAAAAUUUUGAAAGAUCAUGUUUCUAGGAAUCCCUAAAGAAGAAAUGGACCGUUCAGUGAUAACACUGAGAGCAACGGAAAGCACACUGCAGCAGACGGAAACAAAAGCUUCUUUACAAGACACUUUGAUUCCAGAAAGGAAAGAGAGCUAAGAAGAUCAGUACGUUACAGUCAAAGCCCACCCUGGCAUGGCCUAGAGAGGACAGGACUCAGUUGAGCUCUAUGGGCAGCUCCCAUGCUCAUCUCUCACAGUCCAACAAGUCAGCAUAGAAUCCAACGAAAUGGGUGAUAUGUUGGGGUGCUCUGUAUAGCGCUCAGGCAAUAAUGGGAUUUCCUCUGGAAUAAGCCUGGAGUGAGUUGGGCGUUUCUUCUGUCUGCAUUGCUCUUGACAGUGUAUAAUCCAAGAUAGUUUCCUUGGCAUUCCAAAAAGCUACCUAAUAGACUGCAAUAAAUCCCUUUCUUCUUAAAGUAGCUAGAGUGGAUUUUGUUAUUUGUAAAACAUCCUGCAACUAAGAACCACGCCCGUAAUUGUUGCCAUUUUAAGGAAUAAGCUAGCCACUGUAAGAAAAGUGACUCCAAGUACAGUGGUUUAAAUGGUUUAGAAGCUUCCUUUCUCUUCGUAUCACAACUCAAGAUGGGUCAUUGGGUUGUGCUCUACAAAGACAUCAGAGGACCCAGGCUGGUGGGGCAACUCGGCUAUCUGCUGCAUUUGGCUUUUCUCUCUGGUGCUAAGGUGUUUGCUCCAAUUGUCUUCAGCUGCACUGCUCUGUAUGCACAUUUCAGGCUAUGGGAAGGAAAAAGAGAAAACUUGGAGGGACAACAGCUUUAUUUUGAAGGACAUGAAGCAGAAGUUGUUGCUAAAACCAAGUAGCUAAAACCAAGGCUCAAAGCCUCUUGAAGAUUCAAGGGAAGAUGGAAAUUGUAAUGUCCAGCUGGCGUGGUCAUUAGCCUGGCCAAAACUCGCAGGGUGUGGGGAGUUCUCUUAGUAAAAGAAGAAGGGGAGACUGGAUAUGGGGAAAAUUCCAAAACUUUAUUCAAGAGCACAUCAUCACGCUUUUGAAACCUCAGAGAUCCCCUGCAGAUAGGCUCUUGCUCUAAUCCUUUCUCCCAAAGCAAGGAUACAUGCAAGAAGCAGCACAGCAGUGGAAAUGUCAGAGAACAUUUUUCUCAGCCCCUCUAAAUGGCAGUGUAACAGUGAAAUAUGUCCUUGGUUAUUGUGAUUCUGAAUAAAGCAGAAAUAAAACACCUAGGUUUUAAAACAUACCAACUCCUUCACUGAAUGUAAUGAGUACCUGUUAUAUGUCCGCACUGUAAGAUACAGACAUAAACCAGACAACCUGGGCUGUUGCCCUUGUGAUGCUUACAUUCUAGGAUGGAGGACGUACACUAAAAAGUUUAUUAUGAAUUGAUUAUUUAAUUAUGAUAAAUGCUUCAAGGAAAUAAAGGGGGGGACAUAAGUGUGUAUAUAAAUACAGGAAGUUGACCUAGGCUGCAGAGAUCAGGAAUGCAUUUUCUUCUUAAAGUGAUAUUUAUCUACAAAAAAUUAUGGACAGAUUUACUAGUAAAAUACAUUUAUCUCUGCAAGUUGGAAAAUUGUCUACAGACCAUCCUAUUUCACUCUUUGGUUAUAAUUAGAUUUUAAAAUAUGUAUUAAAAUUUUAAAUAUGCAUUUUUUUAUUGGAGUAUAAUUGCUUUACAAUGUGUUAGUUUCGGCCAUAGAACAAAAUGACUCAGCUAUAUGCAUACCUAUAUCUCCUCCCUCUUGAGCCUCCCUCCUACCACUACCCCCCCUCACCCCACCCAGGUCAUCAUAGAGCACCAGGCUGAGCUCCCUG